ACAUCCAGAGAAUUAGCAGAGAUGCUUAGUGCCUUCGGGAACUCUGAGACAGGUGCUGCAUGGCUGUCGUCAGCUCGUGUUGUGAAAUGUUGGGUUAAGUCCCGCAACGAGCGCAACCCUUAUCCUUUGUUGCCAGCACGUAAUGGUGGGAACUCAAAGGAGACUGCCGGUGAUAAACCGGAGGAAGGUGGGGAUGACGUCAAGUCAUCAUGGCCCUUACGAGUAGGGCUACACACGUGCUACAAUGGCGCAUACAAAGAGAAGCGACCUCGCGAGAGCAAGCGGACCUCAUAAAGUGCGUCGUAGUCCGGAUUGGAGUCUGCAACUCGACUCCAUGAAGUCGGAAUCGCUAGUAAUCGUAAAUCAGAAUGUUACGGUGAAUACGUUCCCGGGCCUUGUACACACCGCCCGUCACACCAUGGGAGUGGGUUGCAAAAGAAGUAGAUAGCUUAACCUUCGGGAGGGCGUUUACCACUUUGUGAUUCAUGACUGGGGUGAAGUCGUAACAAGGUAAGCGUAGUGCU
rnacentral:rRNA from 1 species